UUCAUUCUGUUCUCCGUGUCAGUUCUUUUUAUUUCCUUUUGUCUUCCAGACAGCCAUAUGAGCUGAUGUCAGAGAGUGAACCUAGAUCAGUGAAGUGAACCCACACCAAAUCUUGCACCCAUUUUAACCUUCGACCUUCAAAAGAGAGCCAACAGGGAGUCAGCUGGACAGGAGUGUCAAUGGAUGGCUCUACGGGCCAAAAAAACAUGGAAGCAUGAGGAGGCCCAUCUAGGCCCAUCAUCUUAAAACAAAGACACAGCAUUGUUCUUUUACUGCAGCGUAGAACUGGUGGGCCGAAGGUAUGCGUCAUCACAGCCUUCUGGACAGGGUCCAUCUGAGGAGAGACAAGCCAGAGGUCACAUCAAAGACUCAGCAGCACGGGAGGAUUUGGAGGGCAGUGUUUCUGUGUUUCUCCUAAUCCACUGGAUGUGGAUGAGAGAGAAAGGUUUUGAGGAAAAAGUGCAGGUGAAUGACAGGCGGAGCUACCGAAGGGGGAGAAAGCUGGGAGAUAAAAAAAAAAAAAAAAAAAGGAGUGGAGAAGAGUGAAUUGAAGAGGGAGCAGUGAUUGAUGUGGACAGGAGGGUGUGUGUUUUCUCAGCAGCAGCUGGUGCCGCUGUCUGUGCCGGAGUUCUUGGGUGCCGUUCAAACGCUUUAAUUCAUGCUGGGGUUAGAAGAGCCUAAUUACAGACCCCUGUCUCCAAAAGAUUGUACUAUGUUUGUGUGCUACAAAACUGCUUUUCAAUCAUAACAUCAUAAUCCGAGUAUCACGCAAGACAGGUGCUAGGUUUUCUGUGAAGUACCUUGAUAAGAGAUCAAAUGUAUUUUAGAUAAGAUUCAACUUUAGGGAUAUGACGUCCUUGUAGAGAGGAAAGCAAUCAAAUUCUGCUGUGGGGAAACUGAAUUUCACUUUUUAAAUAAUCAGUGAGCGAUAAAAAUACAGAAGUACACUAGAAAUGUAAAACGAUGAACAAUGAAAUUAUCCAAGUGAAUUAUGCACAAGCCUGGGAUAACAUGUUGGUACAGUAAUCAAAAUCAAAACAACUGAGGAGCAGAUUUCCAACAUUUAUGGGUUGAUUUUGGUUUGAAUACAGAGGUUUAUUUUUGUCAUUACAGAGGUGUUAUUGCUGUCAUUAGAAGCAGCUCAACACACAUCCUAUUUGGUGAUUCACAUAAUAUGAUUAAAACAAAUAUAAGAAUUGAGAAAUAUGUAUAUUAAAAAGACAGCAGCAAUGAAAAUGUUCAAUAAGAUAGAAAAAGUGAACAAGUAUAUAUAUAAAAUUAAAAAAACGAUACCAGCGAAGCUUGGUAUUAUCAGAUCAAGAACAGAUUUAAGCCACGACAUAUGAAAUGUUUACCACCUCAUUUUUAGUAACUCAGAUGGACUCGUGUGAGCUCUGACCCAUUGGCAGGGUUCAACAACCACGGCGCUGGGUGUUGCCCUCAUUAAAAAGCCAAAAGCACACUGCGGUUUUACUCAGCCUCUCAUCUCCUGUUCAGACUGUGAACGCACGCUGCCAAAUGAGAGACUGUUUACACUCUCAAGCGCCAGGCACCAGGGGAAAUGGUAUAAUUGGUCUGAAAACUUAAACCCCAUUUGAAUGCAUUGUUAGAAAUAUUUAUAGACUUUAGCCUGCCUUUUUUUUUUUUGCUUCCUGUCUCCAACUAAUGUCUACGAAUCGGCUUGCUUGUUUUGUGGAGACCCUGUAAUACCUCGUUUGUUUACAUCUGUACACUCAUCUCUGUGCCAACAUUGUUGCGUGGGUGAAGACUUUUGUGCUUUAGAGUGUGUUGUCCAUGUGUCAUUGUGUGCGACAAAAAACAAAACUCUCUUGCUCAAUGUCCAGUCCCUCUUUGGUUGGUGGUCUCUGCCUCCCAUCACUGCGAGUUUUUUGCUGCCAUUCUUUAACCACCUGUUUUCGUCCCUACUGUUAUAACCUCAUUAACCUAUUAGUCCACGUUCUGUCUCCUCUUUCACUCUCUCCUUCAUCAAACAAUGAAGCUUUUGUUGCACCAGAACCUGACCCUGUGUGCCACAUGUUUAACUGAGUUUGGAGUUAAUUUGAUGCAUUAUUCUUAGAUAGCCAAUCUCUUACACAUUGUUAGAUAUCUGUUUAUUCAUUUCUUUCAGAUUAUAAAAUAUAUCAUCCUUAAAAAUGUCGCUCUUGGUUAAUUUGGUAGUGACAACAAAUGCAUUGUUGCUGUGUUUAUAACAGCAUGUUAUCGACCAUUGGUGGCAGAAAAUAUAUAUUUAGAGGCUACUCUGUCAGAGAUGCAACAGGGGAAGAGCAACUCUUUUAUUUAAUUUUUAAACUACUUUAUGGAGAUAACCUCAUCAUGAUAACUGGGAAUCAAGAAAAUCGUGAAUGUCCUCACACGAAUGACAAAAACGCUGAGUUGAUUUACCGUCCCUUAUUCAUUUCCUGAUUUAUUUUGAAUUGCUUAAGACUGUCAGCAUGGCUGACGGAAUGGCUUUCACAUUGCA